rnacentral:tRNA from 1 species
GGCUCGAUGAUGUAAUUGGUAGGCAUACAGGACUUAAAAUUCUGUGUUCGUAAUGAGCGUGAGGGUUCGAGUCCCUCUCGGGCCA